rnacentral:tRNA from 1 species
CGUGCGUUAGUUAAAUAGGUAUAACAAUAUAAUACGGCUAUAUUAUUACAAGUUCGAGUCUUGUGUGCACUU